GAGAGUAUAGCUCAGUGGUAGAGUGUGUGCUUAGCAUGCACGAGGUCCUGGGUUCAAUCUCCAGUACCUCCA
rnacentral:tRNA from 1 species